AGCGCCAUGUUCUACCAAUUGAGCUACAGAGGACCACCAAUACGGUGAUAGUUAUCCUGUAUAUUAAGAGUACAGCGACUGCAAUGAGAAGGCAUAAUGUUACUUUGCUUAUUUUUUUUCGGCCGGAUGAGGUGCAGAUCUGUGUUCAGAUAAAGCGUCCGGGGUGAAAAAGUUUAAUUAAAAAAGUUGUGUGAGGACAAAACUAAGAUCUUACAAUAGUUUAAAGGAAUCCCACAGUCGUGGUCUUACUCUGUGUGUGUGUGUGCCAUCCUGGUGCUGCAGCAGACGGUGGAGAGGGUUCACGCAUGGAAGCGGUACGGAGACAUCGCCCGAGGAAUCUUCAUCAUCAGGGGAGAUAACUUGUCCUCCUGUGGGAGAUUACUGGCAAGGCCACCUCCAAGGCGAUGAUUGACAUCUUCAUCCCCCACGGUUCUCCUGAGGUCAUCUUUAGUGACUGAGGUCGUGAACUCUGGAACAAGGUUUGGAUGAACGGACCAACCAGACCCUCAAGACUGCCAUGGGCAAUUCCCUUGACGGGUACCAGGAACAGUGGGAGGACAACCUGAAGAUCACUGAAACUCCACCUGAUGUGGUGGAAGUUGUCGAACCAGAUCAGAACGCCUUCGAGGACCACUUUCAGGCACGGGCUGAGAAGGAUGUGGAGGUUUUUGAACAGGUGAGACUGAACAUCGACAAAGCACAGGAGAAAUAGAAGGAGAGCUACCGGAGGAGAAUCAAGAAGGGGACCAAGUGCUUCGACAUCCGGGCGAAUGACUUGGUUUGGAAGAAGGACGAAAGGAAGGCGAGACCUGGGAAACCUCGCUGCUCUUUCGCUCCUAGCUGGGGUCACCAUACGUUAAGGGUUUCCUCAGUGGAAGCCAACAAUCUUCUACAGUUAGAGCAGUUGGACGGUCGACCACUGAAAGCCCUGACGCCCUACACUUCGGUGAAGCCCAUGAGACGAAGACCAUCAACUGUCUGAGCCACCCAGGAGGUAUCCCAUCCAACAGAGCCAGUGAGUUUGGAUCAGUCUGAUUCUUUGUGCUCUGAGUCGGAGGGCGACCAGCUUGAGGACCUAGGGGUUCUGCCCAACACCCAGACGUGGAUCCACCUGAUGUCCUCCUUUACCAACCACCCUCCAACUUUUCAUUACAUCAUCUACAGCUACUGUUAUUGUCAUGUUGUCAUUAUC